rnacentral:rRNA from 1 species
UACGAAGGGGGCGAGCGUUGUUCGGAUUUACUGGGCGUAAAGGGCGCGUAGGCGGCCCUCCUAGUCGCGUGUGAAAGCCCUCGGCUCAACCGAGGAAGUGCACCCGAAACUGCUGAGCUUGAGUGCCGGAGAGGAUGGCGGAAUUCCCCAAGUAGAGGUGAAAUUCGUAGAUAUGGGGAGGAACACCGGUGGCGAAGGCGGCCAUCUGGACGGUAACUGACGCUGAGACGCGAAAGCGUGGGUAGCAAACAGG